AUCUCUUGGGACCGGACCAGACUAUCCCCGUUAAUGUUUGAUGAACAAAUUGUGAAAAAGACAUCUAUUGAUUGAAACAUAGCUAUACUUAAGGACAAUGCUAAUAAUAAGUUGCCAAAAACACUAAAUGCUUCCAAUCAAAGCACCCGACCCGUUUUCUUCUGCCGGAAAAUCAAACCUAAAUUCUGGUAGCAGAUUGACCUCCUCACCAUGA
rnacentral:lncRNA from 1 species